rnacentral:rRNA from 1 species
ACGCUCGACACCUACGGGAGGCAGCAGUGGGAAUAUUGCACAAUGGGGGAAACCCUGAUGCAGCGACGCCGCGUGAGUGAAGAAGUAUUUCGGUAUGUAAAGCUCUAUCAGCAGGGAANAAAAUGACGGUACCUGACUAAGAAGCCCCGGCUAACUACGUGCCACAGCCGCGGUAAUCUGAGCGGGCUGGCAAGGC